rnacentral:rRNA from 1 species
GACGAACGCUGGCGGCGUGCCUAAUACAUGCAAGUUGAGCGCUGAAGGUUGGUACUUGUACCAACUGGAUGAGCAGCGAACGGGUGAGUAACGCGUGGGGAAUCUGCCUUUGAGCGGGGGACAACAUUUGGAAACGAAUGCUAAUACCGCAUAAAAACUUUAAACACAAGUUUUAAGUUUGAAAGAUGCAAUUGCAUCACUCAAAGAUGAUCCCGCGUUGUAUUAGCUAGUUGGUGAGGUAAAGGCUCACAAAGGCGAUGAUACAUAGCCGACCUGAGAGGGUGAUCGGCCACAUUGGGACUGAGACACGGCCCAAACUCCUACGGGAGGCAGCAGUAGGGAAUCUUCGGCAAUGGACGAAAGUCUGACCGAGCAACGCCGCGUGAGUGGAGAAGGUUUUCGGAUCGUAAAACUCUGUUGGUAGAGAAGAACGUUGGUGAGAGUGGAAAGCUCAUCAAGUGACGGUAACUACCCAGAAAGGGACGGCUAACUACGUG